AAGUCGGACGCUCAACUGACUGAGCCACCCAGGCGCCCCCAGAAAGACCUGUUUCUAACAAACACACGUUCAGAGGUGUUCCAGAAAAAGACGAUCGGCUUUGCUUCUAAAUCCUUUAACGCACCCAAGACAAACGCACGAGUAGCUUUGCCUCCAGCUACCAAACCAGUGGUGGCCCGGGGUGACCGACCUACCUACCCAAGCUUUGCAAUAUGGUGUCACCGAGGCACGCUCAGUGUAUUCAUAGUAAGGUGCCGAAUUUCUUCAUCACUCUCUAUACCUACAAAGAGUCAGACCCUCUUGAGUGCAAACGGAAAUGUGAGACAAUGAGAAUACAAGUCAUUUUAUGUUUCGUUUGUGGUUUGCUAAGUGAGAAUUAGACGUUAAUUUGACAUGCUGAAUUUUUACCCUGACCCAUAUCCAAGAUUCUAAAAGAGUGGGUUCCAGAGUUACAAGAUGGGAUUUCUUUGUGAGACGAGGGAGUAGAAAAGAGCUUUUUCUACUUUUCUACAUUUCUACAUUCUGCCCUGGGGUUACUACCCUGGAAAAGAGUCCCUUGUCCCCUGAAGGUGAGCCUCCCAUGCUCUGUGACCCAGCAACUCCAUUCCCAGGUCCACACCCGAGACAAACGGCCGCCUGUGUGCAAUGGGAGGCGGGCAUGAGACGUACGCGGCACAUUCACAAAAGCCCAACCUGGCAACACACGGCACGCCCACCAAAAACAACGCGAACAACGCUUACCAAUAUAAUGUUAAAAUGACCCCGUAAGCCCUGAAGCUUUCCACAAAGCAGGAAAAACCAGGUGGCCGUUUUGUGGGCACGUGCUUCCUUAUUGUAAGGAAUUAAGUGCCUGAAUCAAAACGGGCCAAGCGGGCACCAAUGAAGAGACUACUUCACGAGAUCGAUCUAACACUGGGCUCCGAGAUUCAGUAAAGAAGAAAAGCGAACCGACAGCUAAGAUCCCGGCAGUUCAGGACCUAGAUCGUUUUGAGUACGAGUCAACCGUGGGACACGGCUCCUAAGAAAAAAUACACAAUUCCCCAGGACCACACUAAUGGUUCUGUAACAUCCGGGAUACGGGACUCAGGAUUUAUUCCGAACCGGCUGGCUGCACCUGGAGAAUUCCGAGCACCGAGCUCAACUGGUUGCUACCCUAGACAGGAUCUUCUUCAGACAACUGGGUCUGAGAUACUUGAUUUGGAUGACACCAGGGAGCGCAGAUUCCCAAUUAAACGUGUUCCGAGUGCUCUAAGCACUUGGCAUUUUUCUGAUUUCAGCAGACGAAAGCUUCUAUUGCUGUAUUUCUUUGUCAAAUUGUUUUUCCUUUCUGUCUCUUUGGAAUAAAAUUCCACUUCAGAAAAUGGCAUUUUCUUACAUAGUAUCUGGUGAGGCAGACCCUAAGUCUGAUAAAAGAUGAAGACCUGGGAAGGAAACACAUGCGGUGCUUUGAGAACCCUCACUGGGGAAGGCUCUUUUAAUCUGAGCCUUUACCACUACAAAAAAGGCAGGCCCAUGAAAAGCUUGGGACCCGGGUGGGAUGAGCAUCGCGGGGGACGGAGUAGAAAGCACAGAGGCCUGGGCUGGGAAGGCAAUGAAUGGGAAGGUCUGCUCCUUGGACUGUAAGAAGGCCCCCGUGAAUGAACACACGGUGAGUGACGAAAGCAGGCCACCUCACAAAGAGCUUGGGUUUAUUCUCGGGCAGUGGAAACCCGUGAAGAGUUUUAAGCAGGGGAGUUGAUGCGAUCUGGUUGGCUUUUCAAAAGCAUAGCUCAGUCCUGAGUAGAGGAUGCGGUGAAAGGGAGCCGGUAGAAACCAGGAGACUGGUUAGGAGAUUAUCCCUGGGGUCCUGGCUUGUCGGAUGGCCCUUUGCCCCAUGGCAGUGGAAGCAGGGCUGACGGAAGUGCACUCAAAUAAAACUUGCAGGUAGGAUUUGCAAUACUUGUGACGGAUGGAAGAAAGGGGAUGAGUGAACGGAGUCCUCGAGGAAGACCAUUUGUUUCUGCUCAAGCAGCUGGCGACUAGUGGCAUCCCUGGGAUGAGGAAGGCUAGCGGAAUGGCAGCUUCCAGAGGGAAAACCAAGGGUUUAAUUUUGGCUGUUAAGUCAUGGAUGCUUGCGAGAAGACUCUGACAGCCCCGAUUCUCGGUACUGAGAUCUAGUUAGGAUUGCGUUCCCCUGGCAUCCAAUGAGAGUGAGAACGCUCACGUCUCUUGACCACGAUGGGGCCAUUUAGAAGAUGCCUCGUAACAAAAGGUACCUGGACACCUAUGGGAAAGGUAUGAUUUGGAGACGAGAUCUCACAAAACGGUAAUAGCAUAAAUUCUCCAUAAUUCCAUAAAUUCCAUACAUCCUCAUGCAAUUAAUGAAUACAUGAACUAAUGUUUUCAUUAUGACUUCCGGGAUUGGGGGAGAUACUUUAUUUUA